rnacentral:rRNA from 1 species
GACGAACGCUGGCGGCGUGCUUAACACAUGCAAGUCGAACGGAAAGGCCCCUUUGGGGGUACUCGAGUGGCGAACGGGUGAGUAACACGUGAGUAACCUGCCCUUGACUUCGGGAUAACUUCAGGAAACUGGGGCUAAUACCGGAUAGGAAUCCUUGCUGCAUGGUGGGGGUUGGAAAGCUUCGGCGGUUUUGGAUGGACUCGCGGCUUAUCAGCUUGUUGGUGGGGUAGUGGCUUACCAAGGCUUUGACGGGUAGCCGGCCUGAGAGGGCGACCGGCCACAUUGGGACUGGGAUACGGCCCAGACUCCUACGGGAGGCAGCAGUGGGGAAUCUUGCACAAUGGGCGGAAGCCUGAUGCAGCAACGCCGCGUGCGGGAUGACGGCCUUCGGGUUGUAAACCGCUUUCAGCAGGGGCGAAGCUUGUGGUGACGGUACCUGCAGAAGAAGCACCGGCUAACUACGUG